CAGGAAAAAAAAAAAAUUAAACUCAACAUCCAUUGAUAAAAGUCAGAGUUUCUUCAUGUUAUGACGAGUUGUUCUAUCAAUCAGGAGAGCCAAGGGCCAUGUCUAGCACCUGUGUAGCUAAUAAGUGGGGUUAGACACAGGCACAUGACAUUACACAGCCACAAAUGGGACAUACUAUGAUGUGUUCUAAUGCUUUCUGUGUUAGCAUGUGUUUAAAUGACUGAUAUGUGAUCAUAAAAUCACAUCAGUUCUCAAAUCACAUACAAUCAGUUCUCAAAUUGAGUCUGUGGUCCAUAGAAAACCUAUUUGCCACUUAGUACUGUCCUCCUCCCAUUCCCCCCAGUCCUGACUUGAAGACGGCUGAAAGGGAGGGAUUAGAAUACAUUUUAAUAAGAAAAAAGCAUUUUGAGAAAGGGUGAAGUGUCAGUGUCUUCACAGCAAGCACAGGGGCUGGCCCUCAGUUUUUGCCUUCAAACCUCAGUUGGUGCCUUCUGACUUGUAAAAGUUGCAGCUCAUGGCUCUGUGGGGUGACAUAGCCUGAGGCACGUGCCUCCUUCUGUGUUUCAUGCUGCUGUCACUUACAAAGAACAGUUAUUUCGGAGCUCUGCAGGGAUACCAUUUCUCCUCCUCUUUGAAAGGGGGUAGUUUUGUGUUCUGCCAACCACUUUAGGUUGGCAGAACACAAAAGAUAUGUCUGUCCUCUUUGCUGCUUUCCUCUCCCCUCUCGUUGGGAGAGCAGAGGCAGUGACAGUACCAUGAUGAAUUGUUUGGCCCUGCCAGCAGCAAUUAGCUGUUCAAACAGUUGAUUCUGUUCCCUAGGGAAAAGCUGGUAAAACAGAUGAAAGCAUUGUGUGGACUGGACUUGAUCUGUGGACUACCUGUAGAACCCGCAGAACUCAUCAGCAUCCCCUCUACUGCUUAUAUUCUACUUGAUGUAAAGGUUGUUGCUAGUUCUGGAAGAAAAAAGAAAGCUUGCAAAAAGAGAACCAAUUUGCUUAAAGUUUACCUUACGCUGAAAGUUGUGGGCACUUGGAGCAGAGCUGGUGAGUUCUUUCUCUUUAUUUCCUAUGAAUCACCCAGAGACAGAAAUUGGUGCUGUGAGCUUUCCUCCUAA
rnacentral:lncRNA from 1 species